rnacentral:lncRNA from 1 species
ACCCAAAACACCAGCCUUCUCUGCACGGCACGUCGAGGAAAGAAUAACUGUGCAGUGAACAGCACUGGCCCAAGUCUGCAGGGCGAGGAAGAAGCCAGGACAUAAGCAAAGACAAAUCUUACUAGAAACAGAACGAACUUGCAGGCUUCCCUUCAGAUGACGAUGACUGCGAGUGAAGAGGAAAUCCUCUCCCAGCAUCUCUUCCUGCUGGUGGAAGCUGCAGGUCACCUGACCACACAUGACAAGACAGUGUGACUCAGAUCCAGCGUCUGCCGUGAAGUUUGGUCUCAGGGCCCUGCUCAUCAAGAAAUGUUUUUGAAAAAGGUGGAAGUAGGUAGAGGGACGUGCUCUGAACCAGCGUGACCAAAAGACAGUGUGUUCACGGUGCAUUCAUCUGAUUCAAUUCCUGCCAAAGGCUUUUGUUAUUUGAGAACAUUAUGACUAAACCAACAGAGAGGAAGGACAUUCUGAAUACGGGUGAGAGACUGCGCGUUGGACAAUCACUGUGA